CCUACGGGGGGCUGCAGUGGGGAAUAUUGGACAAUGGGGGGAACCCUGAUCCAGCCAUGCCGCGUGUGUGAAGAAGGCCCUCGGGUUGUAAAGCACUUUCAGUGGGGAAGAACGCCUGGUGGUUAAUACCCAUCAGGAAAGACAUCACUCACAGAAGAAGCACCGUCUAACUCCGUGCCAGCAGCCGCGGUAAUACGGAGGGUGCGAGCGUUAAUCGGAAUUACUGGGCGUAAAGCGCGCGUAGGUGGCUUGAUAAGCCGGUUGUGAAAGCCCCGGGCUCAACCUGGGAACGGCAUCCGGAACUGUCAAGCUAGAGUGCAGGAGAGGAAGGUAGAAUUCCCGGUGUAGCGGUGAAAUGCGUAGAGAUCGGGAGGAAUACCAGUGGCGAAGGCGGCCUUCUGGACUGACACUGACACUGAGGUGCGAAAGCGUGGGUAGCAAACAGGAUUAGAUACCCCGGUAGUC
rnacentral:rRNA from 1 species